rnacentral:tRNA from 1 species
GGUGGCUCAGUGGUUGAGUGCUUGUCUUGCAUGCAUGAGGCCCUGGGUUCGAUUCCUCAGCACCA